UUUUUAACUCCGCCGGCCGGCCGGUAAGCUGCUCAGGGUGAGGAGUUAGGGAACCGCGGGGUGUCGCUUUCGAGGGAUUCCUGACCAUCGUGAAAGACCCUUGAUAAGAAAUAUUUAUUGCCCUGUGUGGUAAGAGCAAGCAUUUGAUCCCAGCAUACAGGAGGCAGAGCAGUGCCAACUGUGGACCACAAAGACAAUUCAGCCUCAUUCUUCCCUUUGUUCUGCGUAUAACACUUCGGUGGGGAGAAGAAGCCGGAGAAGGAGCUAGUGACAUUCAUUUUUAACAGGGACUGAAGAACACCUCUGUCUUCGUUAGGAUUUUGCUGCUGUGAACAGAGACCAUGACCAAGGAUGAACAGCAACUUUCAGCACUCUGAAAUCUAGCCAAAAGAUUAGUACCAGGUUGAUAUGUUCCUGUGAUUCAAGUUCAUGGAUUCCUCAGCAAUUGGAUCUUACUGUAAAGAUCUCUACAGAGAAGCGACUGCAUCAUUGACUGCAUCCCAGAAGUGGAAAGUAGUAGCUUCCCCAAAAGAAGAAAU
ensembl:processed_transcript Gm15246 predicted gene 15246